GACAGAGGGUGCAAACGUUGUUCGGAAUUACUGGGCGUAAAGCGUGCGUAGGCGGUUGGCAAAGUCAGCUGUGAAAGCCCCGGGCUUAACCUGGGAAUGGCGGUUGAAACUAGUCGACUAGAAUCUGGCAGAGGGGGGUGGAAUUCCACGUGUAGCAGUGAAAUGCGUAGAGAUGUGGAGGAACACCGAUGGCGAAGGCAGCCCCCUGGGCUGAGAUUGACGCUCAGGCACGAAAGCGUGGGGAGCAAACAGG
rnacentral:rRNA from 1 species